GAGUUUGAUCCUGGCUCAGAUUGAACGCUGGCGGCGUGCUUAACACAUGCAAGUCGAGCGGUAACAGGCGUAGCAAUACGUGCUGACGAGCGGCGAACGGGUGAGUAAUGCUUCGGAAUCUUCCUCGUAGUGGGGAAUAACCUGGGGAAACUCAGGCUAAUACCGCAUACGAACUACGGUUGAAAGCAGGGGAUCGCAAGACCUUGCGCUAUGAGAUGAGCCGAAGUCGGAUUAGCUAGUUGGUGAGGUAACGGCUCACCAAGGCGACGAUCCGUAGCUGGUCUGAGAGGACGACCAGCCACACUGGGACUGAGACACGGCCCAGACUCCUACGGGAGGCAGCAGUGGGGAAUAUUGGACAAUGGGGGCAACCCUGAUCCAGCGACGCCGCGUGUGUGAAGAAGGCCUGCGGGUUGUAAAGCACUUUUAGUGGGGAUGAAAAGCCGAAGGCUAAUACCUUUCGGUCUUGACCUAACCCAAGAAAAAGCACCGGCUAACUCUGUGCCAGCCGCCGCGGUAAC
rnacentral:rRNA from 1 species